GUUUUUCUAUCAAGUUUUUGGUCCUUUGUCCCUUAAUUUUUAAUUCCUUAUAUAGUAAGAACACUAACUGUUUGUCUAUUAUAUAGGCUGGAUAAAUUUUUCUCCCAGUCAUUUGAUUUUAUUGUGUUUUUACUAAGCAUUUUUAUUAUCUUCAUGUAGUCAAAUGUGUCAAUAUUUUGUUGCCACUGGAUAUUUCCACCACGUUUCCUUCUGUAUUUAUAUGGCUUCAUUUUCUUACAUUUGGAUCCUGGAUCCAGAUGGAGUUCAUUCUUGCAUAUGGUGUGAAGUACAGGUCUAACUUCAACUUUCUCCAAGGGGCUUUCCAGUUGGCUCAGCACCAUUUAUUAAAGUCUGCUUUGACCUGCGAUUGAAGAUGCCACCUUUAACUCCUCAUCCCCCACCCCUAAGAAACCUCACGGAACAUAUGACCCAAGAGCAGAG
rnacentral:lncRNA from 1 species